rnacentral:lncRNA from 1 species
AUUUGAAGUGCAGAGAAUGAGCAGAAGGAGGAAGAAGAUAGGAAUGGAGUCUGAAAACUCUUAACCAUUUCACUCUGUUUGGUUGGGUUUAUAUACUGACCCAACGGUAACAAAACAGUAAAACUGAAAAGUGAAAAACGCGGGUAAAACCACGUGACAAGUUUAAUACAGGGAACGACAAGAAACAAACGGAGAAAGAAACGCAACGUUUCAUUUAAGCUCCUCUUCUCUUCUUUCUUCACCGUUGACUAACGGUCUUCUUCCUUUCUCCUUAACACCGUUUGUUCUUCAGUUCUUCAUCGUCGUUUCUGCAUUUCAUAAACACUGAAUAGUGAGAGUAAAACGAAACCUAAUCCCAAUUCAAGAACAAGCAACAUGAAUUAUUAAUCAGAUGAAAUCGAACCAAAUCGGAAUUGGAGAGCUGAUCGAUAUCUCUUGGAAAGAGAAGAGAGAGGAAGCAGAAGAGAGUUUUGACUGCAGUGCUUAGCAUUACACUGCCUGCUGCUCUUGUGUUUUUUUCCCUUGUACAUACUUUUUGGAUUUUGCCUUUCUUAAUAUACGUAUAUACUUCGAUAAAAAACAAAAGAUCAUGUGCAGAGGUUGUGAGAGGGAGGAGAUGCAGGUGCAGGAGUACAGUGGAUUGAAAUCAACUUUGCAAUUCGUAU